rfam:Paludisphaera borealis strain PX4, complete genome.
UAAUCGAUCGUCUCGACAGGUGUCCCGGAACCGUUCUUGGUUCCACAAGGGAAGAAUAGGGAAGACGGUGAGAAUCCGUCGCGGGGCCGCCGCUGUAAUCGGUCAGAUCCUCGGACAACUCAGCCACUGCCGCAAGGCGGGAAGGCGGUCCGAAGGUCGUCACGAGCCGUAAGCCAGAAGACCUGCCCGUCGAGCUUGACUCUU